GGGACCAUAGUUCAAUUGGUGUGAACGCUGCCUGUUACGGUAGAGCUUACUGGUUCGAAUCCAGUUGGUCCCGCAA
rnacentral:tRNA from 3 species